rnacentral:misc_RNA from 1 species
UGAGUCAUCGAAUCUUUGAACGCAAAUUGCGCUCCCUGGCAUCCCGGGGAGUAUGCCUGUUUGAGGGUCAGUAUAAAUAAAAAAUCGGUUUGUAACCGGAGUUUGGGUUAUCUUAACUUUUUUGGUUAAGAGGCUUAAAAUUGACCUUUUUUGCGCAUUUUUAGACGUACAUAAAUUUUUUUUUAUUCGUCUAUUCUUAAUGCCAAAAUCUUAUUAGAUGCGAUCACAUCGUGUGGUUUCGUGUCCAUAAAAUUUUCAUGAUUUGACCUCAAAUCAGGUAGGAGUACCCGCUGAACUUAA